AGAGUUUGAUCCUGGCUCAGGAUGAACGCUAGCGGCAGGCCUAAUACAUGCAAGUCGAGGGGCAGCGCAGGUAGCAAUACCGGGCGGCGACCGGCAAACGGGUGCGGAACACGUACGCAACCUUCCUUCAAGCGGGGAAUAGCCCAGAGAAAUUUGGAUUAAUACCCCAUAAGAAUGUAGCCCGGCAUCGGGUAGCAUUU
rnacentral:rRNA from 1 species